GAUGAACGCUAGCUAUCGGCUUAACACAUGCAAGUCGAGGGGAGACGGCCAAGAGUGCUUGCACCCUUUGGACGUCGACCGGCGCACGGGUGAGUAACGCUUAUCCAACCUGCCCUUUACUUGGGGAUAACCCGUUGAAAGACGGACUAAUACCCAAUGAUAUUCAUUGAUGACAUCUGACAUGAAUUAAAGAUUUAUCGGUAUACGAUGGGGAUGCGUCUGAUUAGCUUGUUGGUGAGGUAACCGCUCACCAAGGCCACGAUCAGUAAGGGUUCUGAGAGGACUGUCCCCCACAUUGAAACUGACACACGGUCCAAACUCCUACGGGAGGCAGCAGUGAGGAAUAUUGGUCGAUGGACGAGAGUCUGAACCAUCCCAGUACCGUGCGGGAUGACGGCCCUAUGGGUUGUAAACUGCUUUUGUUUGAGAAUAAUCGACAUUACGUGCUCUGUUUUGCGCUGCCCACUCCAAUAAGGACCGGCUAAUUCCGUGCCAGCAGCCGCGGUAAUACGGAAAGUCCAUGCGUUAUCCGGAUUUAUUGGGUUUAAAGGGAGUGUAGGCGGUUGGUUAUGCGUGUUGUGAAUGUAGAUGCUCAACAUCUGACUUGCAGCGCGAACUGGCUGACUUGAGUACACACAACGUAGGCGGAAUUCAUGGUGUAGCGGUGAAAUGCUUAGAUAUCAUGAAGAACUCCGAUUGCGAAGGCAGCUUACGGGAGUGUUACUGACGCUUAAGCUCGAAGGUGCGGGUAUCGAACAGGAUUAGAUACCCUGGUAGUCCGCACAGUAAACGAUGGAUGCCCGCUGUUAGCACCUGGUGUUAGCGGCUAAGCGGAAGCAUUAAGCAUCCCACCUGGGGAGUACGCCGGCAAUGGUGAAACUCAAAGGAAUUGACGGGGGCCCGCACAAGCGGAGGAACAUGUGGUUUAAUUCGAUGAUACGCGAGGAACCUUACCCGGGCUUGAAUUGUAGGAGCACGAUACAGAGAUGUUGAGGUCCUUCGGGACUCCUAUGAAGGUGCUGCAUGGUUGUCGUCAGCUCGUGCCGUGAGGUGUCGGCUUAAGUGCCAUAACGAGCGCAACCCCUUUUCUUAGUUGCCAUCAGGUAAUGCUGGGCACUCUGAGGAUACUGCCACCGUAAGGUGUGAGGAAGGUGGGGAUGACGUCAAAUCAGCACGGCCCUUACGUCCGGGGCUACACACGUGUUACAAUGGCCGGUACAGAAUGUUGGUUUCAUGCAAAUGUAAUCUAAUCUUUAAAGCCGGUCCCAGUUCGGACUGAGGUCUGCAACCCGACCUCACGAAGCUGGAUUCGCUAGUAAUCGCGCAUCAGCCAUGGCGCGGUGAAUACGUUCCCGGGCCU
rnacentral:rRNA from 1 species